rnacentral:rRNA from 1 species
AACGAACGCUGGCGGCAGGCUUAACACAUGCAAGUCGAACGCACCUUUCGGGGUGAGUGGCAGACGGGUGAGUAACGCGUGGGAAUCUACCCUUCUCUACGGGAUAGCUCCGGGAAACUGGAAUUAAUACCGUAUACGUCCUGAGGGAGAAAGAUUUAUCGGGGAAGGAUGAGCCCGUGUUGGAUUAGCUAGUUGGUGGGGUAAAGGCCUACCAAGGCGACGAUCCAUAGCUGGUCUAAGAGGAUGAUCAGCCACAUUGGGACUGAGACACGGCCCAAACUCCGACGGGAGGCAGCAGUGGGGAAUAUUGGACAAUGGGCGCAAGCCUGAUCCAGCCAUGCCGCGGGAGUGAUGAAGGCCCUAGGGUUGUAAAGCUCUUUCAGUGGGGACGAUAAUGACGGUACCCACAGAAGAAGCCCCGGCUAACUUCGUG